rnacentral:rRNA from 1 species
UACAGAGGGGGCAAGCGUUGUUCGGAAUUACUGGGCGUAAAGGGCGCGUAGGCGGCCCUCUAAGUCAGACGUGAAAUCCCUCGGCUCAACCGGGGAACUGCGUCUGAGACUGGAAGGCUUGAAUUCGGGAGAGGGAUGUGGAAUUCCAGGUGUAGCGGUGAAAUGCGUAGAUAUCUGGAGGAACGCCGGUGGCGAAGGCGGCAUCCUGGACCGAUAUUGACGCUGAUGCGCGAAAGCCAGGGGAGCAAACGGG